rnacentral:rRNA from 1 species
AACGUAGGUUCCGAGCGUUAUCCGGAUUUACUGGGCGUAAAGCGCGUUCAGGCGGUUUGGCAAGUCGGACAUGAAAUCCUUCGGCUCAACCGGGGGAGGUUGUCCGAUACUGCUGAACUGGAGGGCAGUAGAGGGUGGUGGAAUUCCGGGUGUAGUGGUGAAAUGCGUAGAGAUCCGGAGGAACACCAGUGGCGAAAGCGGCCACCUGGACUGCACCUGACGCUGAAACGCGAAAGCUAGGGGAGCGAACGGG